rnacentral:miRNA from 1 species
GCCGCAUCCCGGGGCCAAGGGAGAUCGGGGCCCAAGUCCUUCUGAUUGAGGCACAGCCCAUGGAUGGUGUGAGGCCGAUAGCAGCCCCCGGUGUGC